rnacentral:misc_RNA from 1 species
GAAAUGCGAUAAGUAAUGUGAAUUGCAGAAUUCAGUGAAUCAUCGAAUCUUUGAACGCACAUUGCGCCCGCCAGCACUCUGGCGGGCCUGCCUGUUCGAGCGUCAUUUCAACCAUCAAGCCCCGGGCUUGUGUUAGGGACCUGCGGCUGCCCGCAGGCCGUGAAAAACAGUGGCGGGCUCGCUGUCACCCCGAGCGUAGUAGUAUUAUCUCGCUUAGGGCGCGCUCCGGGUUUCGGCCGUUAUACCCCCCCACACCCCAAGGUUGACAUCGGAUCGGGUAGGAAUACCCGCUGAACUUAA